UCGGGUGCCCGUCGGGUCUCAAUGGAAUCGCAUGCGUCGUAUCCAGCAACCUCAAUUUCUUCUUCCCCUCUCUCUGCGCAGCCCUAAAUUCCUCCAGCUGAAUCAUGUAAAAAUCCAAUUUCAGAAUCUCCAGAAUCGUCUCGUUGCUCCGGUACGGCCGCCGCCGCAGGCAGUUCCCUCUCUCGUUCCACAUCCCGUUCUCGAAGUGCGACAGCGCGAAUGUCCGGAGGAAUACCACGCCGUUGAAGUUUUUCCGGCAGUUUAUGGCCCUCAGCGCCGUCCGGAAGACGCGGCGGUAGCCGUAGGUCAUGGGGAGGUCGGUGGUGUUGGGGAUCUGGCAGAAGCGGCCAGUCGACGGCGGUGCGGGUAAAAAUGUCAACGAGAGAAAACGUCGGAUAAACAGCUUCACAGCUUAAUCGAGCAACUAGCUGCAAAACAGGGACCUAAUUGCAAUUAUUCACACGGCCGUGCAAGAAAGAGGCAGGAAUCUCACACGGCCGUGUGAGAUUUCGAGUAAGCUACUGCCUAAAAUCGCAUAAUGGCGCGGCCGUGCGGAUUUCUUAACUAAAUCUCGCACAGCCGUCCGAAAGUUGAAGCAGCUACUGCCCAAAACCGAUAAUUGGCGCGGCCGUGCGGAUUUCAGGCCUAAAUCUCGCACGGCCGUCCGAAUAAAAAAAUCGGGCAUAUUAAAUAGGGGUUUUCCAAACCACAAUUCUCACAACUCUAAUUCCUCUUUCUCUCUUAAUUCGAACCCUAAUCCCCUCUUUUCAAAAUUUUCGAUUUUCUUUGAACAAAUUCGCCUAAAUUCCACCAAAUACACACACAUAACACUCAAACAUUGUUGCUUGUUGGUGAUUUGUGCAGGGAGGCUUCAAGAAAGAUGCAAAUUUCUCCACAAACCCACUCCACCAAGAACGCUCACAAGGUGUUCGACGAAUUGCUCAAGUCAAGUUUGGGGGGAAAUUUGCACCUCAAUUCACUUCUAAUCCCUUCCACACGCAUUCUCAAUUCAUGGGGAAACGAGGACGUGACGGGGAGGGCACCUCACAAGGCGAAGGCACUUCUAAAGGCAAGGGGAAGGGCAAGAAAACCGAUCAAAUUCCAACACCGGACGACGAUGCUUUUUGUGUCGAAGGCGCUAGCGCUCGUUUUGAGAAGCAAAAAGUUAAAAAACUUGUGACGGAG